AAAAAAUUGGCCUUCAAAAGUAUAACAAUGUAUCACAGGACUUCUACUGCAUCACAAAUUCAUACAGCUCAUUGACAAAUGGUCCCCUAUGAGAAGGCCUUCACUACAUUGUAAAAAAAUUCCAGGUUAAUCCCUUGAUUUCCACAUGCUCACGAUAGCUAAGCAAGAUAGAAUUUAUGAAUUUAAAGAUCAUCUUCUCGCAUAUCCGUCCUCCUCCUGGCCUGUAGAGCUAGCCGUGCAUCUCUCUCCCUCUCAAAUUCUCUGUAAUCAGCUCGUUGCAAGAAUGAUACCUUGUCCAGAUACUGGUUUGAGCUUUUCUUAUAAGCAUCUAACUCCUCUUCUAGCCCCUUAUUCUCUUCCUUAAAUUCUCCCCAAUCCUUUUUCGUCUUGUCAAGCACACUGAGCUUAGGUUUCUUCUUAAUUUGUUCUAGAACAGCAUCCACUGCAGAAGGUGGAAGACUUCUGGCCUUUUCAGCAGCCUCUUUUGACUCUGCAUCAACAAGCUUCUUAACUUCUAUUUCCUGACCUGCAAAAUCCCGUACCUCUGAGAUCUCAACUUUACCCCUGCCUGAAGCAGCGGCUGCAGCAUCCUUAAACUGCUGAGAGAGCAGCAGCAGCAAGUUUUUUGGCCUCAUCACUAGUGGCAUUUUGCAAAACACUAGAUCCCUUUUGUGAUGCAUCUGGUAUAGAGCUUUCUGAUUUCUUUGUUGCCAGACCCAGAUAAGCCAUCCAAUUAUCAGACUUAUUUUGUGAAGUUCUAUCUGAAGACUUGCUUGAAAGUGUCUUAUUAGAUACUUCCUUAUUCAUUUGGUCCCACCUGACAGCAACCUUGUCGUCUUUGCUGGUACCAUCCUGCAAACCACUUCCUCCAUUCUGCUGGUCACCUUGUCCAGGGUAUGCUGCCUUCUUUGGUGCGAGACCCAGAUAUGUCAUCCAAUUAUCGUUGAAUUUCUGUGAAUUAGUAUUCAUGGUUGAACUAAUACGUUUAUUUGAAAUGGGUUUGACAGGCUUAUUACCCAACCCUUUAUUCAUUUGCUCCCACAUUGCUUGCACCCGAGCUUCCAUAUCACUUUCUGCAGGUUUUGGCUCUGAACUCAAAACUGAAUCAACUUUCUGUGAAGACUCAAUUUGAGAAUCCAUCCUUUACAUUAAUCUUCCCAACGGACUAUGAAUUGAUGAUGAUGAUGAUCUAUUUCAGCUAACGCAGAAUUCCUCUUUCUUUUUCUUCUUCUUCUUCUUCGUCCUGGGCAAUCUAUGAAGGUUUCUCUACUUAAAGCUC
rnacentral:misc_RNA from 1 species